UACGAAGGGGGCUAGCGUUGGUUCGGAAUUACUGGGCGUAAAGCGCACGUAGGCGGACUUUUAAGUCAGGGGUGAAAUCCCGGGGCUCAACCUCGGAACUGCCUUGAUACUGGAAGUCUUGAGUAUGGAAGAGGUAAGUGGAAUUGCGAGUGUAGAGGUGAAUUCGUAGAUAUUCGCAGGAACACCAGUGGCGAAGGCGGCUUACUGGUCCAUUACUGACGCUGAGGUGCGAAAGCGUGGGGAGCAACAGG
rnacentral:rRNA from 1 species